rnacentral:miRNA from 1 species
CCCACUCAAUAAACAAUUCGU